GAUGAACGCUGGCGGCGUGCUUAACACAUGCAAGUCGAACGAAGCAUUUAGGACAGAUUACUUCGGUUUGAAGUUCUUUAUGACUGAGUGGCGGACGGGUGAGUAACGCGUGGGUAACCUGCCUUGUACUGGGGGAUAGCAGCUGGAAACGGCUGGUAAUACCGCAUAAGCGCACAAUGUUGCAUGACAUGGUGUGAAAAACUCCGGUGGUAUAAGAUGGACCCGCGUCUGAUUAGCUAGUUGGUGAGAUAACAGCCCACCAAGGCGACGAUCAGUAGCCGACCUGGGAGGGUGACCGGCCACAUUGGGACUGAGACACGGCCCAGACUCCUACGGGAGGCAGCAGUGGGGAAUAUUGCACAAUGGAGGAAACUCUGAUGCAGCGACGCCGCGUGAGUGAAGAAGUAAUUCGUAAUGUAAAGCUCUAUCAGCAGGGAAGAUAGUGACGGUACCUGACUAAGAAGCUCCGGCUAAAUACGUG
rnacentral:rRNA from 1 species